rnacentral:rRNA from 1 species
AACGAACGCUGGCGGCAGGCUUAACACAUGCAAGUCGAGCGCCCCGCAAGGGGAGCGGCAGACGGGUGAGUAACGCGUGGGAAUCUACCCAUCUCUACGGAAUAACGCAUGGAAACGUGUGCUAAUACCGUAUACGUCCUUCGGGAGAAAGAUUUAUCGGAGAUGGAUGAGCCCGCGUUGGAUUAGCUAGUUGGUGGGGUAAAGGCCUACCAAGGCGACGAUCCAUAGCUGGUCUGAGAGGAUGAUCAGCCACACUGGGACUGAGACACGGCCGAGAAUCCUACGGGAGGCAGCAGUGGGGAAUAAUGGACAAGGGGCGCAAGCCUGAUCCAGUGAUGCCGCGUGAGUGAUGAAGGCCCUAGGGUUGUAAAGCUCUUUCACCGGUGAAGAUAAUGACGGUAACCGGAGAAGAAGCCCCGGCUAACUUCGUGCCAGCAGCCGCCGUAACAC